rnacentral:rRNA from 1 species
CAGCAGUAGGGAAUAUUGCACAAUGGGCGCAAGCCUGAUGCAGCAACGCCGCGUGCGCGAUGAAGGCCUUCGGGUCGUAAAGCGCUUUUCGGGGAGAUGAGGAAGGACAGUAUCCUCGGAAGAAGGAUCGGCUAACUACGUGCCAGCAGCCGCGGUAAAACGUAGGAUCCGAGCGUUAUCCGAAUUCACUGGGCGUAAAGCGCGUGCAGGCGGUUCGGUAAGUUGGAUGUGAAAUCUCCCGGCUCAACUGGGAGGGGACGUUCAAUACUGUCGGACUCGAGGACGGUAGAGGGAGGUGGAAUUCCCGGUGUAGUGGUGAAAUGCGUAGAUAUCGGGAGGAACACCAGUGGCGAAGGCGGCCUCCUGGACCGUACCUGACGCUCAGACGCGAAAGCUAGGGGAGCGAACGGGAUUAGAAACCCCGGUAGUCCUAGCCGUAAACGAUGUAGACUUGGUGUCGGGGGUGUAAAAACCGUCGGUGCCGAAGCAAACGCGAUAAGUCUACCGCCUGGGGACUACGGCCGCAAGGUUA